CUUUCUAUGGCAAUCGAGUCAAUUGAUGGCAAGCCAAAAAAACAAAAAGAGCAGCUAUCCUGUCUUACUCGAUUGCCAUCCCUCCUGUUAAACACCAUUAAGAAAAGGAAAAUUUUAGUUAAGCUUUAAAACAGCCAUGUUUUAACGAUGUUGGUGAUGGUGCUUGUGCAGGCCCUUCUUGCUACAAUUACAAUUAUUCUUAGUGCAACAAUUAAAGCUGGUGGGUGAUAAAGCACACCUCUUUUGACUGAGAGAUGUAUAGGUUCCCAAAUAAUAUGUAUAUGCUCCCCCCCCUCCCUUUAUUUUAUUUUAUUUCCAGUAAGUUAUUGUUUAUGAUAAUUUGCAACAAAUGUUUUUGUCAUUAUUUUGUUGGUGAAUGAUAAUAAGAUUAAGCUUUACUUUCUUAAGCUCCAAUUCCUUGGACGUUGGUGAUUUUUUUAUUAUAGUUGAGUCAUUGUAUGGUAUUAAUAUAAUUUAUGUCGCUUAAAAUUUAUAACUAAAAAUAUAAAAUUUAAAUUUUACUUCAAUUUAUUUGUAUUUAUAAAUGGUUAAUUCAAACUUAUUUUUUUCCUCAUUAUAUUUUAUAUUUAAAUUAACAUUUAAACUAUUUUUCAUUAGCAAUGUUGUUAAGAAUUAUAUUUUUUAGCACCAACAUCAAACUUACUAAAAUUAAAUUUUUAACUAUUUAAAAAAAAUAUUUUUAGCUAUUUAUCAUCAUAGAGAAAAAAAGGUGACGUCACCACGCCUCAUGCUUCGACACCACAAACUAGACUCUCAUCACCCGUAUUUAUCAUCGAUUCAAAUUCCAGAACUACCUAAAAAUAUAUCUUCAAACUUCCUCUGGUUAAGUUCAUUGAUAGUCAACUUACUAUCAUUUCUAAAAAAAAAACAAAUAAAUUGGUUAAUAGUAAUCUCAAUGAUUCAAUUUUAUUCUUACCAGUAUCUGUCCUUUAGAAAGGGGCUUAUAAAAGGGGUAGAGGUGAGUAAACUUGAGCUUCAGCUUUCCACAAACACCUUAAUUUGAAGACACAGUUCUCUCAUACUAAAAAAGACAUGGAAGUUUACCUUGUAAUUAGAGAUUUGGUUUCAUUGCUUGUUGUUGGGUUAUUAAUGAUAUGGGGAUGCAGAACUUUAAACUGGGUAUGGCUGGCCCCAAAAAGGCUCGAAAGCUGCUUGAGACAACAGGGUUUUGCAGGGAAUCCUUACAGGUUCCUUUCUGGUGACAUAAAAGAGCUCUCAACUAUGAGCAGACAAACAAGAGCCAAACCUAUGCCUCUUAGUGAUGAUAUUGGGCCUUAUGUUGUUCCUUUUCAACAUCAAACUGCUAACCAGUAUGGUAUGUUUUUUUUGUUUAAUCUGCAAUUUAUGAUAAUUCUUUGUUAUUUAUGUAUGGAAUUUAUUGGGAGGAAAUGCAGGAAAGAAUUCAUUUACGUGGUUUGGUCCAAGACCAAGGGUGAACAUUACGGACCCUGAAAAAAUAAGAGAAAUACUUAACAAAUUUAAUGACUUCCAGAAGAUACAUACCAAUCCACUGCUUAAUUUGCUUGUAAGCGGCCUUGCUAACCUCGACGGAGACCGAUGGAGCAAGCGUAGAAAAAUCAUAAACCCUGCAUUUCAUCAAGAUAAGUUGAAGGUAUAGAAUAGUGAUGGGUAAUCAGACUUUACAGAAAACAUCAUACUUAAACCUAUGCUUUUCUGAUUUAGAAAUAAUUGGAUGCAGAAUAUGUUGCCAGCAUUUUAUCAAAGUUGUAGUGACAUGUUAAGCAAAUGGGAGAAGAUGGUGUGUACAAAAGGAUACAGUGAGUUAGAUGUGUGGCCUUAUCUCGUAGAUUUGACAAGAGAUGUGAUUUCCCGAUCUGCUUUUGGAAGCAGCUUCGAAGAAGGCAAACGAAUUUUCCAAUUACUAGAGGACCAACUCGUUCACAUAAUCAAAUUAAUACAAACUGUUUACAUUCCAGGAUGGAGGUAACCGUCAACUUAAUUUACUUGAAAAAGGUUGCAAAUGUUGGAAUUCGCUAAAUUCGUGUUUGUUUUCUUGAAGGUUUUUGCCAACGAAGACAAACAGGGAGAUGAAGAUGAAACACAGGGACAUAAAAGAGUUGCUUAUGGAAAUGAUAAAGAGAAGGGAGAAGGCAAUUAAAGCAGGGGAAGAGAGCAAUGAGGACUUGUUGGACAUACUUGUGGAAUCCAAUAUCAGAGAAAUGGAAGCAAAGAAUAUUGGGAUGAGCAUUGAGGAUGUGAUUGAGGAAUGCAAGCUGUUUUACUUAGCUGGCCAAGAGACCACUUCGGUCUUACUGGUGUGGACUAUGGUUUUAUUAGCAAGGUAUCCCGAUUGGCAAAGUAAAGCAAGAGAGGAGGUUUUGCAUGUUUUGGGUGACAGUAAACCUGACGCUGAUGGCCUUAAUCGUCUCAAAGUUGUAAGUCCCUAGCAUGUCUUUUGAAGGUCCGAUCAAUGAGGUCGACAACUCAAAAACUUUGUUUCUUUUUUCGCUAAUUCUACAGGUAACAAUGAUAUUGUACGAGGUUCUAAGGCUGUACCCACCGGUGGUUGAGCUAGAACGUUCCGUUCCAAAAGAAAUAAAACUGGGGAAUUUGUUGUUACCAGUAGGAACAGAAGUUUCGGUUCCGAUCCUGCUGAUCCACCAUGACAAAGAUCUUUGGGGCGAUGACGCACGGGAAUUUAAGCCAGAGCGGUUCGCGGAAGGGGUUUCCAAAGCAACAAAGAGUCAAGUCACGUUUCUGCCAUUCGGAUGGGGUCCUAGGAUCUGUAUUGGCCAAAAUUUUGCUAUGAUGGAAGCCAAAAUGGCGAUGGCUAUGAUUCUCCAACGCUUCUGGUUCGAGCUUUCCCCUUCCUAUGCUCACUCUCCUUACGGCAGGGCAACUCUUCGUCCACAGCAUGGUGCACAGAUAAUUUUACAUAAACUUGGCUGUAAUUGAAUUGUUAUGUAAACAAAUCUUUGUGAAAACAUAGCGUUUUAGUUUAUCGUCAAAGUCCGGUGUCUGUAAUGGUACAAAUUCGAUGCAUGAAUAGUAAAGUUUGAGAUGUUUGGUGAAGUCCGAAAUAAUAUGCAGAAAUUGAGUGUGGUAAUUAUCAAUCAAAUAAUUCGGUACAAAGACUUACAUGGAAAUUAAAGCAGGGGGAGUUGAAAAUGACUACUCUGCUUUGGGCAUCAAUUUAGAAAGAUUUAAAGUACAAAUGUGUUAUUAGUUAAGGGAUUUGUUUUAAAGAGGGAAUGACAAUUAAACCUCAUGGUUGAUUUGUGGAAGGGAACCGAUGAUGGGAUGAUUAUUCUUAGUGGUAAAAAAAACUAUUGUGGAGGUUAUUAUACUUGUUAUCAUCGGCUUAAAAUUCGAAUGGGUUCAAGUCGGAUUAUAUCGAGCUUGUAAGAUGAGUUCACGGAUCAAAUUUGCAUAAUAAAAAUACUUAAAUGAAAAAAAUUUCUAUUUUAGAGGGACCAGAGCCCCUACCAAUUCCCGGCUCAGCUACUAAACAAUACCCAUAUCAUAUAAAUAAAUACCACCAUAAAAAAAACUCAAAGAAAAACACUGACAAAUGAUAAAUAGAUAGAUGUUGGAUAAGUGUCCAAAAUAUGAUUUAAGUGAAGAUACAUGGGGUAGGUGUCACGGAAAUGUGAAUACAAGAAUACUACUAAUGGGAUGUGUACAGUUGAAUGUAGGGAGCAAAAAGAGGAGUGAAUCAUUUUGGUAACAUUGGGACAAGAAACAUAAUGAACAAAAUGGAAGGAGAGGAAGCUAGUAAAAGAAAUUUUUUGGGUCAUAUAAUUUGUUUGGCAUAUAUUUUUAUAAUUUUUAAAUAUCAUUUUGGACUUGAAUUAUAAUUUUUUUAUAUAUUAUCUUAAAAUUGUAUAAAUUUUAAGGAGUUAAAACAAAAUUAUUCUAUUUUUAGAUGGUUAAAGUAGAGAUGAUAAUGGGUUGAGCUAUUCGGCCCAGCCUGACGAUCCACCCGAAAAAUAGGAAGGUUUGGGUAAAAAUAUAGGCUUGAAAUAUGAAUUUGAGCAAAAAAAGAGGCCCGUUUAGAAAAUGGGCCGAGCCUCGGGUAAAACCUUUUGGGUCUAGACCUGACCUAAAUUAUAUAUUAAAUAUAUAUAUUUUUAUUUUUAAUCAAAUAUACUUUUGUUUUAUUAUUAAUUUGGUUAUUAUUUUAGUUCUAAUUUGUUUCAAUUUUAAUAUAACUACUUUUUAUUAUAUUUUCAAUUUGUGCAUUGUUUUAAGAAUUAUUUUAGUCUCAUUAUUUAUUUAUUUUUUAUUUUAAUAUUUGUUUUAAAAUUUUUUAUUUAUUGAAAUAAGCUAAAAAAAUUAAUAUGGGUUGGACCAGACCGGGCUCGGGCCUAGUAAUUUUCUUUUGGGCCGGACUUAAACAAAUUUUUAAGCCCAUAUUUUGAAUUGGGUCCUACACUAGAAAAUGGACCUAAAAUUUUGUAUUACCUUUAGGUCAGAGCUAUCCUCGUUUUGCAUUUCUUUGAGAUUCAGCCUUAUUUACUUUUGAUUGCCCACUCAAUAGAGGGUUGAGUAGAAAUAUUUGGUGAAGCAAGCUAAGCUAUCAAUCAAGGUGUGCAUAAUUAUUUAAAUGUAAUUCUAAUAUUAAAAUAAAAUUUUUAUUAAUAUAGUAUCAACAAGCAUUAAAUGUAAUCAUCAUAUACUAUUAAAUUUUCAAUAAGAGAAAACAAGCUUGAACUUUAAAAACGAUGUUACUAAAAACAUUAUCACAAAUCUUGAAAUAUAAAAAAUACUUUUUAAUAUAAUAAAAAAAUAAUUUUAAAACCGAGAUGAAUAAAAUUCUAAUUUUAAUUAAUGAUACCAACAACAAAUCAAUAUUUAAAUUAAAAUUUAUCUUAAUUUAAUAUAAUAAAAUUGGACUUGAAUAUUGAAUUUUUGAGUCUUGGGCAAAGUAGAGGUGCUCAUGGGCCGGGUUGGGUCGGGUUUGGGAAAAAUUUCGGCCCGCAUCCUAGGCUCGGGCUCGGCCCGACCCAAAUAUGGGCCUAAAAUUUUGUCUAGGCCUAGCCCGGCCCGGCCCAACUCAUUUUUUUUAAUAAACACCAAAAAUUUAUUUUGAAAAUAAAAAAAUAAAAAAAGUAUUUUAAAAAUAUUUUAAAAUUUUUAAAAAAUAUAUAUAUUUAUUAUAUAUUCGGGCCGGGCCAGGCCCGAGCCAAAAAAGUGGCGCCCAAGGCCCGGCCUGUUUUCUAAACGGGACUCAUUUUUUACCCAAACCCAUAUUUCGGGCCUAUAUUUCUACCCGAAUCUCUCAUAUUUAGGGCGAACCGUCGGGCCGGACCGGGCCGCCCGGCCAUGAACACCUCUAGGACAAAGUCACUCAAUGAAUGCAUGGAAAGAAAUAAUGCAACUUGGUGAUAGCUUUUGUUGGAGUUAUAUGCUUUUUUUUUACGUAGUGGAACUUUCGGUGGAUUUUCAAGUUUCAUGAACUUUAUACUCUAUGCUUUACGUGAAAAAAAAAAUUCAUUGGACUUAAAAGUCUACCAAAAGUUUCACUAAAAAAAAAACCAUUGCUACAAGAUUACAACAUAAAGUUACAAUAAGAGCUUAUAACUCAACAAAGGCUAUCAAUAAAUAAUCUCAAACAAAUUAAAGAGAAAUGUUGAGAGUACCACUCGAAUAGUGAUUAACUUUAAAAAUUGAAAACCCAAAGUUAUAAUAUCCCAAACGAAAUCAAACCAUAAACAUUAAAUUUUUCGAGUCUACUAGAUACUGCAAAAAAUUCAGCUCCAACAGACACCAAAUGAACCUAUGAUCGAAGAAAAUACGAAAACUAGUCUAGCUAAAUCAAGCUGCCAAACUUACUUUUUAUCUUAUCUUUAAUUUGCUGUGAAAUUCAAAACUAAGGUUUUGUACUUAGAACAACUUUCAAAAAGUUAAUUUUGAAAAAUGGAUUGAAUUUUCAAAAUAGAUGAUAUUUUAUUGUGUUAAAAUUUUAUUCGUUGUUUGAAAAAAAAUUUAAAUCAUUUUCUUAGAAUUAUUUUUAGUGAAACAAACAUAUCAUAAAUAUAUUUGUUAUAAAAUAUUUAUAUUAAUAUUUUCUUUUAACAAUUAAAAUAUAUUUUGUGAUAAGGUAUAUUUUAUAAUAAUUAAUAUCAUAUAUACUUAAUAAUAAAUCAUGUCUAAUUAAAAUUUAAUUUCAAUUAAAUAUAUUAAUAAAGCUACAUAUAAUCAUAUUUUAUAUAAUAAAAAUAUUAAUAUAAAUAUUUUUUUAAUAAUAUAUUAAAGAAUAUUUAAAAUUUAAAUUUAUUAUUACUAAGAUUAAUUAUUAAAAUAAAAAUGUAAUGUUAAAUAAUUUAUCCAAUGAUAAGUUAUAUUAAUAAUUUAUUAUAUUAUUAAAUAUAAAUAAUUAAAUAUGUAUGUUUAAUAAUAUUAUGUUAUAAUAUUUAUUAUUAAUAUUUUAAUAUUUUUAAACAACCAUGUUUUAAAGAUGGUGGUGAUGGUGAUGGUGCAGGCCCCCUUGUUACAAUUACAAUAUUUUUAAGUGGGAUGCAUGUAAUAUAUUGUUAGGGUUUUAGAGUGUGUGGUCUUUAAAAGGGUUAAAUUAUAUAUUUAUAUAAUAUGAUUAUUGUUUAUAAAUAUAAUAUUGUAGAUAAACUUUUAUGCAUGUCAAUAUGUAUCCUACUCUGGGGUUAAUAUGUAUUUUUAGAUAUGGAUUCACCUAUAUAAUAGUAUGAAUCCAUCAUGCGGUCUCAUGAAAUAUACAAACACAUAUCGUGCGAACACAAAGUACGAACAAUAAAAAGUACAAAUCAAGACCAAUUGAGUAAUUGAAUAGCAGAUAGGUAAUAAUGACUAUCCCCUCUUGUUUGAAUUUAUUUUAUUUCCAGUGAGUUAUCGUUUAUGAUAAAUUUACAACAAAUGUUUUUAUCAUUAUUUUGUUGGUAAAUGAUAAUAAGAUUAAACUUUACUUUCUUAAGCUCCUUCAAUUCUUUGGACGUUAGCAAGUAAACUUGAGCUUCAGCAUUCCACAAACACCUUAAUUUGAAGACACAGUUCUCCCAUACUAAAAACAACAUGGACGUUUACCUUGUAAUUAGAGAUUUGGGCUCAUUGUUAGGUUAUUAAUGAUACGGGGAUGGAGAGCUUUAAACUGGGUAUGGCUGGCCCCAAAGAGGCUCGAAACGUGCUUGAGACUAGAGGUCCAGGCAAAUUUUUAGGCCCAUUUUUUAGGCCUGGACUGGGCCCGACUCGAAAUAUGAGCUUAAAAAUUUGUCUAAGUUCGGUCCAAAAGAAAAUUGUUAAGCCUAAGCCCGGCCCAUAUUAAAUUUUACAACACCAAAAAACUAUAUAUUUAAUAUAUAUAUUUGAUUAAAAAGUAUAUUUAAUUAAAAAUAAAAAUAUAUAUUUAAUAUAUAAUUCGGGCCGGGCCGAACUCGGGCCAAAAAAGUUUUACUCGGGGCUGGUCCGUUUUCUAAACAGACCUCGUUUUUUUGUCAAAAUCCAUAUUUUAGGCUUAUAUUUUUACCCGAAACUUCCUAUUUUUCGGGUGAACCGUCAGGCCGGACUAGGUAGCCCAACCAAUGAUCACCUCUACUUGAGACAACAGGGUUUUGCAGGGAAUUCUUACAGGUUCGUUUCUGGCGACAUAAAAGAGCUCUUCACUAUAAGCAUACAAACAAGAGCCAAACCUAUGCCUCUUAGUGAUGAUAUUGGGCCUUAUGUUGUUCCUUUUCAACAUCAAACCGUCAAUCAGUAUGGUAUGUUUUUUAAUUUAAUCUGCAAUUUAUGAUAAUUCUUUGCUAUUUAUG
rnacentral:lncRNA from 1 species